rnacentral:tRNA from 1 species
AGAAAGAUAAGCUAAUUAAGCUAGUGGGUUCAUACCCCGCAUAUAGAGGUUCCCAUCCUCUUUUUUCUA